rnacentral:rRNA from 16 species
GGAUGCGAUCAUACCAGCAACUAAAGCAACGGAUCCCAUUAGAACUCCGAAGUUAAGCGUGCUUGGGCGAGAGUAGUACUAUGAUGGGUGACCUCCUGGGGAAGUCCUCGUGUUGCACUUC